rnacentral:rRNA from 1 species
CACGUAGGGGACGAGCGUUGUCCGGAUUCAUUGGGCGUAAAGUGCGCGUAGGCGGCUCGGAAAGUCGGGCGUGAAAUGCCGGGGCUCAACCCCGGGACUGCGUCCGAUACUUCCGAGCUGGAGGUAGGUAGGGGAGAUCGGAAUUCCUGGUGUAGCGGUGAAAUGCGCAGAUAUCAGGAGGAACACCGGUGGCGAAGGCGGCGUUCUGGA